rnacentral:ribozyme from 14 species
ACAGAGAGAGAGAAAGAAGGAAUAAUGUCCCAUCCCAUCCCAUCUCUUUUCUAUUAUUAAUAUACCAUACCUGACUUCUUCCUUUUUCUUCUUUUUCGUUUUCUUUUUACUAUUUGUAUAAGUUUGACAACAAAA